rnacentral:lncRNA from 14 species
AACCUAGAUCUCGCACAUAAAAAUAAGAGCCAAGGGUAUUUUUAUUUUUACUUUUAGGGAGAGAGGAAAGGAAGUCAUGAGCCUCAUAGCUCUCAGUGAGAAGUCUUAGUGGGUAAAUGAGAAAGUCUUUGACUCUGGGUCCAAGAAUUCCAGUGUCUUAGGUGAAGGCAAAUGGAGGGGAUUCCAUGCAUUCAGGUUUCUGGACACUGUAGGUCUUUCAUCUCUGUGUGUGUUUCCCUCAGUUCCACGACCCUGACCCUGCCUGACUCAGAAUCUCUACUUAUGGCCCUUCUAUGGUCUCUUCUUCACAAUGCAAACAUUCCACUGUCUCCAGUUCUUUUAGUCUCACCCACUGAGACUCAUUUCAGUUAGCCUCCCUGAGGCGUUUUCAACUGCAAAGAUCUUGCUCUUGGUAACUCCUAAAUUCCAGACCCACAAAAUGGUGUACCUCCUGAGCGUUUUGUAAAUAUGACAAAUCUGAAGCUAUCCCCAUGGAGGUAGCUUCAUUUGGAAGACAGUAAGAAACGUGUGUCUUCGUGGAAGAUUCCAGCAUGACCAAUGAUGUCGAUGUGGACAAAGGCUUUGCCAUAGCCUUCGUUGUCCUUGUGUUCGUGUUUCUAAUAGUGAUGGUUUUUCGGGCCUACAAAGAAUGCUCCAGCACAACAUUCAACAUCUUUCAUACUGCUGUGUGUGAUCCAGACUUUACAGUCCCUUACCUCUGCAUGUCUCAACCUUGCCCUCUCGUGUUCUGUAACAAGCACAUAGGAGUCAAGUAUCUCUCCAGAGAGAAAAGUCAGGCUAUUUUUCAUUGUUCUUUUUCAAGGAAUCCAUUACUAAAGUUGAACUUAUUGACUAGAUUAAGGCUAUGAGUUUCAAUUGUCCCCUAUCUAAUGUCCCUGGGGUAGGAUAGUGGAUCUUAAUUUAAUGAUGUAAUGUAACAUGAUACUAUGCUUGGUGAGGCCCAUCUCAAACUGGAAGCGGACCAGGACAAGGCCUAAUUUAUUCAUUCUUUAAGGUAAGCAAAAAUGGCAGGCAUCCAACGAGACCUAUUCUGGGUGUCAAAUCUGCCUUUUUCUCAAGUGGGUUAGAGCUCUAUGCUACAG